rnacentral:rRNA from 1 species
CAAGUCGAACGGCAGCACGGGGGCAACCCUGGUGGCGAGUGGCGAACGGGUGAGUAAUACAUCGGAACGUGUCCUGUAGUGGGGGAUAGCCCGGCGAAAGCCGGAUUAAUACCGCAUACGACCUGAGGGAGAAAGCGGGGGAUCUUCGGACCUCGCGCUAUAGGGGCGGCCGAUGGCAGAUUAGCUAGUUGGUGGGGUAAAGGCCUACCAAGGCGACGAUCUGUAGCUGGUCUGAGAGGACGACCAGCCACACUGGGACUGAGACACGGCCCAGACUCCUACGGGAGGCAGCAGUGGGGAAUUUUGGACAAUGGGGGCAACCCUGAUCCAGCAAUGCCGCGUGUGUGAAGAAGGCCUUCGGGUUGUAAAGCACUUUUGUCCGGAAAGAAAACUUCGCCCCUAAUACGGGUGGAGGAUGACGGUACCGGAAGAAUAAGCACCGGCUAACUACGUGCCAGCAGCCGCGGUAAUACGUAGGGUGCGAGCGUUAAUCGGAAUUACUGGGCGUAAAGCGUGCGCAGGCGGUCUGUUAAGACCGAUGUGAAAUCCCCGGGCUUAACCUGGGAACUGCAUUGGUGACUGGCAGGCUUUGAGUGUGGCAGAGGGAGGUAGAAUUCCACGUGUAGCAGUGAAAUGCGUAGAGAUGUGGAGGAAUACCGAUGGCGAAGGCAGCCUCCUGGGCCAACACUGACGCUCAUGCACGAAAGCGUGGGGAGCAAACAGGAUUAGAUACCCCUGGUAGUCCACGCCCUAAACGAUGUCAACUAGUUGUUGGGGAUUCAUUUCCUUAGUAACGUAGCUAACGCGUGAAGUUGACCGCCUGGGGAGUACGGUCGCAAGAUUAAAACUCAAAGGAAUUGACGGGGACCCGCACAAGCGGUGGAUGAUGUGGAUUAAUUCGAUGCAACGCGGAAAAACCUUACCUACCCUUGACAUGGUCGG